AUAGCCAUUAACUCUAGUACUUAUAUAUCGAGUACACGUAUGAUUAGAAAUAAAUUCGUAUUUUCUAAUUUAAAAAAAUUUAGGCAUGAUUGUACUUCAAUAUGGCGAACCGCGACAAAGGACGCAGAAAGUGGGGAGAAUUUUUACAAGAUAAUUCAAAACUAGAUAAAGAUAGAUCAAUGGGAAUGAGAGGUGGAGGAAAUAGGGCAUCCCAGGCUUUAUACAGGCCAGGAAGUGGACCUCUUCGAAAAUCAGGCAGACCUACGGAUGAUCUAGAUAAUGAAAAUAUCUCGCAGGAAAAACCUAAAUCAAGCUCCGUCCAACAUCAUUUAAAACAAUCACAACUCAAUAGACCCAAUCAAUCUCAAAAUAGUCCACCAUCAUCGCAAAUUGAAAAUGUAACAGAAAAAGUGAAUGAUCUAAAUAUUAACUACAGAGGUGUUACAAACGUUGAACAGGCACAAGGCUCUUCUCAAAAUAGCAAUUCUGGAGAUUCGAAAAGGAAAACUAAGAAACCAGAACAACAAUUGUACGUACCCAAAAGAGUUAAAGAAGCAUUGGCAGAACAAGAUACAACAAAUAGAUCUCCCAAUCAAGGGGGCUGGAAUCGGGAUCAAGAGAGAGAGCGUAGUGAGGAUCGUGAUUCUCAUUCCAAUCGUAGUUAUAAAAGUGACAGUCAGCGUAAUCGGUCAAACGGUCGUGGUAGGAGAGACAGUGAGAGCAGAAGUAAAAACAGUGAUGAUCAUGGUAAAAGAUAUUCGGGCAACCGGAGAUCACGUCACGGUAAUGAGAACGAAGAGCGUUGGCGAUCUGAUUCUCCUUUAUCCAGCAGAGGCCACAGAAAUAGGAAAGAUAAUUCGCGUGAGGUCAGACAGGGUUCAGAACCACUUUUUGUAACAACGAAUCAUAUAAAUGAUUUUAAUCGUACCAGAGAUACGCGUAGCGUAGAACCCGCAGGACAUUCGGAAAAAUUUCAAGGCAAACCACCAUCUGGCAAAUGGGGUGGCGGAAAAGAUAGUUUACCAAAAAAUAUAAAAAUAGAGCACUUACCGCCAAGGUUUCAGAAGAAAUAUCUAAUGGACAACGGUUUGCCUUUGCCACCGAGUACGGCACCCUUAGAGGAUACGUGGAAUAGCAGUAAUGUUACAUUUCCGGCAUCAUCGAACUAUAAUUUUCCACCCGCAAUGCAACAUUCGCAAACGAUGCAAAAUUUACCUCCAUCUGGUCCGCUACCGCCGCAACCUAACUGGUCCAAUACCGCACCCCCACGAACUAGAGGUAGAGGUAGACUUAGGCCAGAGGACUUAGAAAAUUCCACAAACAUAUUUAGGUGUGUUACGCCUGAUCAGUAUUCAGCUCCAAGUUCUAGAUCUCAUACACCAAGCCAAGAAUAUAUGCAAAGGUCUUACGAUCGUCGUGGUAGCAAUAGCACUAUGUAUACUAGUAUGGAGAGUUUGAGUCGUGCUGAUAGUUCAAUGAUACCACCACCGUCGUCGGCGUCACCGAUUACUUCAUUACCUAGUGCAAAUAAGCGUCAAAUAUCGCCUGAUAGUCAUCGUCGAGCUACUUCACCGCCUGCGGUUGUCCAACGCGCUCAAACGCAAAGAACAAGUAACACAUCCGAACGUACCAUAACGCAAGAUAAGAAAAAUGGUCAACAAAAUUCAACUGCAUCUUCGAAAAGCGAAUCUAUUAGUACUACAUUGAAUACAUCCCUUGACCAUCCAUUUGAUUGGAACGAAGACGUUGAACUGAAUGAGAAGUUGGAGGCUGAGCGUGCAAGCCGCAGCUCAUCCGUGUUAAGUUUGCGGGAAAAUGUUAAUGCAUUAGGUAACGAGAACACGACAACCGGUCAUAGUCGGAGCAGCCGUAAAAAAAAAAAGCGUGAUAAGAAGCAUGCGGAACGUGGCAGAAGUAACAGCAGAGAUAAAGCUCGUAUUAACAGUCGUGAUCGGCAAAAUAAUCAACAGAAUAGAGAAAAUGAUAAUUAUAAUAAUAAUCAAAAAAACAGUAACACCAGUGGUAGGAGAUACGAACAUAGAAGACAUCGUAAUAUUAUACAACGUAGUCGAGAAUCUAGUAAAGAUAGAAAUUACCGCAGUGGCAAUCGAAAUUUUGACGAUCUCCAUAGACACAGAUUACCCGAUCGACAUUUAGAUGAAAACUGGAGAACAGGCAGGAAAAUGUCAACUUGUGAAUCAGAUGACGGACGACAAACACCUAAUGUUUCUUCGCAUUCUGUUUCGAUAUCAAAUACUGUGACAACGCAUCAAACAUCGUCUAGUGGAUAUACAAGCUCUCAUACACCAGGUGUUUUAAUAUUACCUGAUACUAGCCAGUCCCCGCCUAGUCAUCCAACUCCAAGACAACAAGGACAACAAAUGCAGAGAACGUUAUUUGAUCCCAACAACCCUAAUAAACCAAUCGUUAUUACUUCACCCAACAGCAGAGCAGCUGUACAGAGGGAGAAUGAAACUACGUUACAAAGUCCAACUGUACCAGUGUUUCAGUCGCAUGGAGGAAUUUCUUCUACGCAUCAUAGCUUCCCAGGGGUGCACUUAGACGGUGUGCCACCACCGUACAUGACAAACGACCAAUUCGGAAAUAUAAGACCUUCGUGGUACGAUCCUUGUUCUGAUAGCUUUCGUUUAGCCAAGAACCCUUACUUGCUUUUGGAUAUUGAGCGUGCCGAUUUAGAAUUACAAUGGAUACUGAGUUCCGGUGGUUUCACGUCAAAUUGGGAGGGAGUUAUGACCAUAAGACAAUUUUUACAAGACAGUUUGAAAACUUUGCUCGAGACUGAUAUUAAAUUUUGUCAAGUCGAGAACGUUGAGCAACACUUUUGGAAAAUACUUUUUUAUAAUAUGAUCGAGAUGUUACGAAAGGGCAUGCCUAAGGAAAAUACCGAAGGGCGAGAACAUUACAAAAAGAUCAUGUUAAAAAUUAUCGACGAUGGCACUGUAUAUUUAGAGAGCUUAUUAACUGUUCUCGAAACUAAAUACGAAUUUAAAUUGGACACGUUUCUCGCAUCGUCAACUUUGCCUAAGGGUCUCGGGAUCUUAGGUUUAGCCUUAGUAAGCGCGCAAAAGAUAUACUUAUUUUUGGGUGACUUGGCGAGAUACAGGGAGCAGGCAAAUGAAACAAACAACUAUGGAAAGUCAAGGCAAUGGUAUUUGAAAGCACAACAACUUAAUCCAAAGAAUGGGAGGCCCUACAAUCAGCUGGCAGUACUGGCACAUUAUGCUAGACGAAAAUUAGAUGCGGUGUAUUAUUACAUGCGAUCUCUUAUGGCAUCCAAUCCCUUCCACUCUGCGAGAGAGAGUUUGAUAGCACUCUUUGACGAGAACAGAAGGAAGUAUCUACAUUAUUAUGAAUCAACUGAACGGAAACGGAAAGAGGAACGCGAAUGGAAGGAACGGGCCAGGAUGAAAGAGAAAGAAGGCGCGAAUAAUGUCGGUGGUGGAUUGAGAAGAGAAAUUUGGAUUCACCCUGGUGGAAGACGAGUUCGUCGUACAACUACUGCAGCCACUGCCAACGAAGCGCGACUGUCCCAUAGUGAUUUAGAAGAAUUGGUUCAGUUAAGCAGCGUCGAGGUGAAUAAACGAUUCGUCACAUCUUACCUUCAUGUGCAUGGAAAACUGAUCAACAGGGUAGGAAUGGAGACGUUCCAAGAAGCCGGCGUCCAAAUGUUAAAAGAGUUCCGGGCGCUGCUUCAACAUUCGCCGCUGCCACUUCCUGGGACACGACUCCUCCAGCUUCUGGCGCUGAACAUGUUCGCGAUCGAGUCGACGCAGCUGAAGGAUUCCCAAAUGGAGCAGGGGUACCGGUCCGAGGUCCAAGAAAGGGCACUGGUUGUAUCCUUGCAGAUGUUCAAUUUGAUUUUAGAACGUGGCGUGUCCUUGCUCAAGUCUCAGUUGGACAGCGGCGAGGAGCCGAGAAUGGUUGUUAGCGAGGACAUGCAAGUCCUUUUACCAGCUAUCAAGAUCUGGUGCGAUUGGAUGCUUUGCCACAGCACUGUCUGGAAUCCACCCCCAUCCUGCACGGACUACAGAGUCGGACCGGUUGGUGAUGCCUGGAGCCGACUGGCAACGAUGGUGAAUCUCCUGGAAAAAUUGAAUUACCCCAGAACGAUCCUGAUACAGGCCAAGGACGCGGAGGGUCGCGAAGAUGAGCUUGAAUUGGUCAAACUGCCGGAAGAUAUGACCCUGGCAGGAUUCACGCCGCUAAUGUCGAAUCCACAAGAUCCUUGUUACGCCGAGAAAAACGAAGAUAUGGAAGUUGCUCAAGUGUGCCUCAGGAUAAACAAGAUUCUGUUCUUCGGGCAAGUGUUCCUGUGCGGCCUCGAGACGCCGGUAUUAAAGUUACAAAAGAGUGAAACAGGCAUCAGCGAGUACGUCUCCGUGGUUGAGGCGUCGAGCACGAGUACCCCGAGUUCGCCCCCGGAACAGAGUGACUCCGAGCUCCUAGUGGAAAGUUACAGCGAGGGUGAAGAAGAGCCUGUCAAUACCCCCAGGAGAUUACCCUCGUGUACAGACGUACCUGAUGACAAUACCGCACCUGUGGCCACAGUCGAGAUAAGGUCGCUGAUCGAGAGGAAAGAGGAAUUGGAGAGGCGGCAACGGAAGCAAGAUCGUCAUCGACAGCGAGUGCAGCAAAUACUACAAAAAUCUUCGGUAUCAGUGGAGAUCGAAGUGAGACCAAGGCAACUGGUGCCAGAUACUAACUGCUUCAUCGACUACCUGCCACAACUGCAAAAUAUCGCGAAAGUCACUUCUGGUAUACAACCGAUUUACACGCUUAUGGUGCCGCUUGUUGUUUUGAAUGAACUCGAGGGAUUGACAAGGGGCGCGGAUGCCAGAGACUGUCCUCCAGCCUCGAGGGCAACUCUGGAUCCGGAGCACGUUGCCAGGGUAGCUGAGAGCGCAAAAGCUGCCUUGGCUUUCGCGAGAAGCAGAAAUCCGGCGAUUCGAUGCUUAACCACCAGAGGAACCGUUCUUACGUCCAGCACGUUCACGGUAGAAGAAGACGUUGAUAAGGAUGGGUUGACAAGAAACGAUGACAGAAUACUGGCUACGUGCUUGAGCCUCUGCAAGACGGGUAACAAAGAUCAAGUAAAUGCAGAGGAGGGUCAACCGCGACGACUGCGAAGGGAAGUCGUUCUGCUGACAGAGGACAGAAACCUGAGGGUGAAGGCUCUGGCCCGGGACGUACCUGUAAGGGAGGUGCCCGACUUCAUGCAAUGGGCCGGCCUCGGCUGAGACGGUGUCGCGAUCGAACACACCCGCUAACGAAAAAUCUCCCGUUACUACCCCCGCCGAGUAUAAUAACUUUCGACCAGCAGCAACCAUCACCAAACAGAGUUAGCAGCGAGGAUGCGAAUAGGAAAGAGAAAACGUUGGAAGAGAAUACGUAAAUGCGGAAUGAAGAAACGAACGAUCGUGAUCCCUCUUCGUUGUGGCUGCUCACGCCGCGUGCGACACGGAUUCUUCCCAUUCACACACACAGCAUGUCGGAUGGAACCAAUAAUGGAUGCAGACCGAUGGCUUGUAAAUUGUUGGGUGAGCAACGACUACUCUCGGCAGCUGACAUGGGGGAUUUCAACGUGGCUCGUACUUCUUUGCCAUUCAACUUCAGCCCGAAGUCAGAAGAGCGACAAGAUCAAAGAUAAAGGCGAUCUACAACCCAAUAGAACAGUAAACACUCGCUCGGACGCGGAAUCCUAGCUCCUUUGUCCUUUCUACUUCUCUCAUGCAACAUGCAUUUGUCAAAUGAUUAUACGUGUUACGAUUUAUUCCCUGUUGGCAAAUAGAGCAAUACAGCUCGAGCAGGAAAUCGUGUCAGAUCGCUUGAGGCUUCAGAUUUUUUUUAAGUUUAACAAAUUCUCAAAAGUAUCGUCAUUCUUAUCUAAUAUCUAUACUAUAUGAAAUCUAGUCGAUUAAAUUAGAAUUUCUUUUAAUUCUUCUAUUAAUAGAGAUUUAUAAUGUUUCUUUUGAGAAACUAGAUUUUUUUUAAAGAAUGUCUGAACAGAUUCACAGAUACAAGGGAGUAGAGUAAAAAAAUGUAUGAAGCUGUGAACUCAAUUGAAAAGAAAGAAAGUUCGUUUUGUUAAACGGCGCAAUCGUGUCCGCAUCCCUGACAAUCCCUCGGCCUUCUUCUGUCUCUCAGCUGACGCUUUCAGAAAUAUUUGCCGGCAAUUACUCCCAGGAGCGUUUAAGCGGCUGCGGAAGAAAGAGGUGCAAAAAGAGCAGCGAGGAAUUCCCGCAUGCAUAACGUUGACAAGAUUUAUUGUCACGCGACCAGAUUACGAGAAUCCGGUCCAUGCAGUACGAAUAAUACAUUCGGUGUACCGUUAUCUCGAAAAACGUUUCGGCAAAAAUUCUUCCCGUUCGUGUUCGAUUAAUUGUAAAAUCAGAUUGUAUAGAAUUCACUUUGAUAUUUUCUUGAAAGUUUACUGCAUUUUGUUAACUGAAAAAUACUUUGCGUUUUUUUUUUAAAUUAUUAAGAGGGUCUGUGAGCAUAAUCUUUCAUUAUCACAUGCUUCUAUUAUUUUACCUUACAAUUAUAUUCCAUCAUUUCUGUUCUCAAAAUGAAUGAUAAUAAAAUUGAAGAAAGUUUUGAAGGAAUUCAAGCUGACGCGAAUAAAAAUUUCAAUUCAACCUCGGCGACCGCGAGAGUCCUUAAUUAGCGAUUAGGAGAGGUCCGGAAGGGUAAAGUCUGCAUGGUUCCACCCUUGCCCCAUGUCAUGGAUCUGAAUUCUAACGAACGAUCGUCGGAUUCCUUGCUAAUUGCGCCCGCGAAACCGGAAUGCUCAUUGUUCGAUGAAAGGAAAACGGGGAGGACACGUUUACGUUUCGUCGGUAGCCACUCUUCCCUGUGCCCUCUCAGGUUUCAUUCUUCCCUCUUUCACUGUCGCGCAUACGUCGCAUACCAGAUUCGAGCGUCGCGAAUUUCUUCGAAAUACCACCAUGUACGGGAUAAAAUAAACGUUCGUUGAAAUUAUAGGAUAUUCUGAACAAUAGUGUUCUCAUGCAACGGUUAAUAUAUUGUUUUAAGUACAAGGAAUUCAAUAAAGAUUUGGACGUGUGAAUUGAAAAAUUAGAAACACCAGUUCUAUUGAGAUAAAUAGAAUGUUUUUAAUUUAGGAAUAUUAUAUUCGAUGCUUUCUGUUGCUAUUUCAAAUUGAAUUAUGAUUCGCGGAUUUCCCUUAAGGCAUAAAGAUGGCACGCCCUAGCGAACGAGUCCAAGCGAUCAAGAUUAGUGUACAUAUAAUAUCUAAACCGACUUCCGGGAUAGCUUUCUGUGUCUCUUGAUAAGUAGAGCCAGAGAGAGCGCACACGCCUUUCGGUUCAAGGCCCGUUAUCUCUUAUCGCCGCCCGACCACCCUCCAGUUCGUGGUUUCUAAGCGAAAGAUCGAGCCGUAAAGAUAACAGCUGUCUCCCCCCUCUUACCCUCAGCCUCUUUUCUGCCAUGACGAUUACGAGAAUCAUUCGAAUCCUUAUCCCAUGCCGACGGAAUCUAUGGAAAAAUCGUUUAGCAAAGUAUCAUUGCCGGAAGAAAAUGACAUAAGUUAUAAACCGCUGUAUCAUAUAUAAAUAACCCUAUAUAACAAAUGUUGAAUCUGUCCUAAUCAUACAAGUUUUCACGUUAUUUCCUUCACGAUGAAACUUUAGACAGCUUAGAAGAAUACGUCGAUCAAUUUCUUUCUUAUAAUUUCGAUGGCACUUUUUGAGUUGGCGAAGCUACAGUGAAGUCAAUAAUGAGUUAUCGUCGGUCAUUGGCAUAACGGUGCCAGUGGCUCGUCAGCGAGUCCUAAGAACUUGACUUUUCACCCUGAAGGGGACGAAGUGGCUCGAUUAUCAAAGGUCAGCCGGAUCGUUAGCCGUGGACUCCCGUAAAUCGACGUAGGUCAGUGAAUCGCGAAUCAGUGCGGCUCCCUCGUGCGAACCUCGUUGACCCGAUUUAAAAGGGAGUUUAGACGCGACUCGUUCGCAAGCGAGAUUCCUGAUCGUCAACCAGAGGAAUCUGAUCAUUUCGUUCUUCGGGCGGUUCU